rnacentral:rRNA from 1 species
GACGAACGCUGGCGGCGUGCUUAACACAUGCAAGUCGAACGGACAGGCCCUGCUUUUGUGGGGUGCUCGAGUGGCGAACGGGUGAGUAACACGUGAGUAACCUGCCCUUGACUUUGGGAUAACUUCACGAAACUGGGGCUAAUAUCGGAUAGGAGCUCCUGCUGCAUGGUGGGGGUUGGAAAGUUUCGGCGGUUGGGGAUGGACUCGCGGCUUAUCCGCUUGUUGGUGGGGUAGUGGCUUACCAAGGCUUUGACGGGUAGCCGGCCUGAGAGGGUGACCGGCCACAUUGGGACUGAGGUACGGCCCAGAUUCCUACGGGAGGGAGCAGUGGGGAAUACUGCACAAUGGGCGGAAGCCUGAUGCAGCAACGCCGCGUGCGGGAUAACGGCCUUCGGGUUGUAAACCGCUUUCGCCUGUAACGAAGCGUGAGUGACGGUAAUGGGUAAAGAAGCACCGGCUAACUACGUG